CCCACACCCACACCCACUCCUUAAUCUCUCGAGAACAAAACCAACCCAACCCAGAUUUCUCUCAUUCACAGUUCAAAUUUCUAAACAAGAUCUAUCUUCUAGAUCGGUUGCCCGCUCCAGAGCAGCCACAACGCCAACACGGAGGCCGCCGAAAGCGGCGAGAUGGUCGAGGAGAUGUACCAGAAGAAGAUGUAGCUACUCAGCCCAUCAGAUCCAUAGAGAAAUACACCCAAAUCUUCUGGGUGUUUGAGAAUGAUGAAAUGGUCCAGCGCGUCGUCGAUAUUGCAGACAUCAAGUGCUAGAAGAAGUACUAGUAGGCUCAAGAAGACUGCAUCAAUUAUGGUGUGUGUAUGGGCAAAUAAUUAUGUGAGACAUGCAAGCUGUUUGAUGAUGAUGAUUAUGUUCUACCCCGUUUGUAUUAUGCUGCAGGUAGCACAACUGCUUUUAAAUGAGGAGAUUGUCAGAGUAGUUAGAGGAUGCAUCAAUCCUGUAGGGACUGGCUUUGGGGGACAUGUGAUGGGUUGCAUACUAGGCCUUCGAGUCUCUCCCACACACCGGUCUUAUGAUGCUUUACGUGGAAGCCCUACUUUUCUUAAAUUGAUUCAGGUAGUUGCCGGCAUUGCUUUUUCUGUUUGGGGUCUUGGGCCUCCGAUCUUCAUGGGGAGGAUUAUAUUCUUUCAAGUAUUGUGUCUUGCUCUUCCCAUGCACUAUGUGACAGUUUCAAAGCUUCUAAACAAGCUCGAAAGAGAAGGCGAAUCAGAACACAGUGCGCAAGAUGAUUGACAAAAUGGCACAAGAAAGUUUUGUUGAAUCCAAAAGCAAUUGAAGGCUAGGUAAGCUUUAUUUCAAUGGCAGAAUUCAGCAAAAUUUGAGGAGGAAGACAACCUACAGUGUUGCAGGAGUCUUUUUUUUCUCGUGGUUAUACACUUAUACCUCAAGAUGACGUUGUUUAUAAUUAAUGUGAGUCUAACAACGUCGUAUUGGAUAAGGGAAAGGAAAAACAAGGACGCAAGGUCAGUCCUAGCAAGACUGAAAGUUCGAAACGACCCCAAAUGUAUUUAGGACUAGGAGAAGCUCUAUCACAAGAUCUUUAGAUUACAUGAUUUGCAAAGAUUGAAAAGGAUCUCCCUAAAAUUCUAAAACGAUCUCCUCGAGAGCUUGAGACGCCAACCUCAUUGAUCUAUUUCGUUUUCUAGUUCUAUCAACUAAGUGUUAUUCCAUCAUGCACCAUGAUUCAU